UAGCUCAGUGGUAGAGCUCAUGCUUAGCAUGCACGAGGUCCUGGGUUCAAUCCCCAG
rnacentral:tRNA from 1 species